UACGUAGGGCGCAAGCGUUGUCCGGAAUUAUUGGGCGUAAAGAGCUCGUAGGUGGUUUGUUACGUCUGCUGUGAAAACCUAGGGCUUAACCCUGGGCCUGCAGUGGAUACGGGCAGACUAGAGGUAGGUAGGGGAGAAUGGAAUUCCCGGUGUAGCGGUGAAAUGCGCAGAUAUCAGGAGGAACACCGGUGGCGAAGGCGGGUCUCUGGGCCGUAACUGACGCUGAGGAGCGAAAGCGUGGGGAGCGAACAGG
rnacentral:rRNA from 1 species